GCAUGGAGUGCCUGUGACUUUUUGUAGGGGAAAAGAUAGGGCAAUAAAUUAGAAAAGGGGGGAACCUGAAAUCAGAUUCAAACAUGUGAAAAUGGUAUUUACCUUCAUAUUUGUGAAAGAAGAAAUUAUUUCAAUUUAAUUUGCCAUGUGUGGCUAUUGUGGGGAAAUGCUUUUUCCUUGAUUAAAGGAAAAUGUUACAAAAGUUGGGUUGAUAAUAGACACAUGUUAUUUUAUAUAAAGGUGACACAUGUUUUGUUUAGCACUAUUUAGGACGUUUGGGUGGUUAAGAUUUAAUAGAUUGUUUUAUCCUUUUUUAGGCAUAAUGUGCUUGUGAAGUAAAGUUAAGUGUAGAUGUGUUUAUGGAGUUAAAGCAUUGGUAUUGGCACAACUAAGGCGUUGGGAGGCACAGAUAUAGCGAAGUGUUCAGGUUUGGCUUUGUUUGUGGAGUUGAAGAGUCAUUAUUGGCAAAUUUGGAACAUUGGUAGAUUGGGAUAUAGUAAAGUGUGCGUGUUAUUGGCAAAUGUAGAACAUAGGAAGAUAAGGUUAUAGUGCAUUGUGCAGGCACUCCACCAUGCACUCUUGAUGUAGAGUACUCCUACCCUUUGGAUUAUGCCCAGCAAGUGCACUAUCCCAAUUCCCUAUUCUCAAUAUGUUGGUUCAAUAUAUUUUAGGACCCCAAGAAAGUUCCAUGCGAUUUGUGUUUGUGCAGAGGGAUCAGGACUUCAUGGAAGUGUCAGUCUCAACAUGCUCUGGAAAGUGGAGAAACAAUGCAACAGGUUGCCAGUAUUGUCCUGCAGUCAUCAAGACAUGGUCACAAUAUCCCACUGCUUAUAAAUGAUCUAAAAAGCCAUUGAAAGUCAUUUUAAUAGUAAAACCCCUGAGGCCUGCUGCUAUAAGGACUAAUGCUAUAUUGACUAGUGUGUGGAUCAUAUUAAUUAAUGGUUGCCUAUGUCAGCUUACCAGUAACUUACUUCCAUAAUGUUAAAACAUUUCAUGUGAUUGUGUUUUGUGUAAUACAACAUUUGUCAUGUCACUUUAAGUAUAGAAUUGCAUUGAACCUAUGCAUUUUAUGAAUUGAUCAACUGUAAUCCUGUCUUUAUAAGUUUUUAAAGUCUUGAUUUCAAGAUAAAUAAACAGUUUUAGUUGUU